rnacentral:SRP_RNA from 1 species
UGCCAAGGCAGAGCUGUGAAAUGUGUCAGGAUCGGAAGAUAGCAGCACUAAACAGACUCCUGUUUGUGGUAAUA